UAACAAGGAUUCCCCUAGUAACUGCGAGUGAAGCGGGAUGAGCUCAAAUUUAAAAUCUGGCGGUCUUUGGCCGUCCGAGUUGUAGUCUGGAGAAGUGCUUUCCGUGCCGGACCGUGUACAAGUCUCUUGGAACAGAGCGUCAUAGAGGGUGAGAAUCCCGUCUUUGACACGGACUACCGGUGCUUUGUGAUGCGCUCUCGAAGAGUCGAGUUGUUUGGGAAUGCAGCUCAAAAUGGGUGGUGAAUUCCAUCUAAAGCUAAAUAUUGGCGAGAGACCGAUAGCGAACAAGUACCGUGAGGGAAAGAUGAAAAGCACUUUGGAAAGAGAGUUAAACAGUACGUGAAAUUGCUGAAAGGGAAACGCUUGAAGUCAGUCGCGUCGUCCGGAACUCAGCCUUGCUUUUGCUUGGUGCACUUUCCGGUUGACGGGCCAGCAUCGAUUUUGACCGUCGGAGAAUGGCUUGAGGAAUGUGGCACCCUCGGGUGUGUUAUAGCCUCUUGUCGCAUGCGACGGUCGGGAUCGAGGUUCGCAGCGCGCCUUUAUGGUCGGGGGUUCGCCUCACGUUCGCGCUUAGGAUGCUGGGCCGUAAUGGCUUUAAACGAC
rnacentral:rRNA from 1 species